rnacentral:lncRNA from 1 species
AUCUCUACAAGAGGAUGGUUGUUCACUAAACUUAUGGUAAUGUAUACAAGUCAAAUCAUUACAUUGUACACCUUAAGCUUCUCAAUGCUAUACAUCAAUUAUAUCUCAAUAAAACUGGAAGUAAAAGAUACUCCCAUCACAAAGACUUCCAAGAUUUCAUUGUUUUCUGUGCCUCUCCUUUUGGUAUGUCUGCUCAACUUCACUGCAAUGGACUGUCUGAACAAUUCAAAGGACCCUUCCCUUGUAUUAGGGCUGUCAGAUUUAGCAAACAAAAUUGCAGGAUGCUGGUUUUAAAUUGAAUUUUAGAUAGAUAACAAAUAAUUUUUAGCAUAAGUAUGUCCUAAAUAGUGCACUAAAAAACUACUUGCGGUUCAUCUGAAAUUCAAAUUUAACAGAGCAUUCUGUCUUUUAUCUAACCACCCAGCCUCUUGACCCACCUCAGCCAGGAUCCAGGAAGUACCCUGAGAUCAUGGUGAUUAUGAUGGUGGUUAGAGCAUCCGAAUUUUAUAAAGGAUUUAUCAGAGGCCAAAAAUAGUGAACUUUUCUAAUUGUCUAAUUUGGUAUGGCUUGCUGAAAUUAAUCAAAAUGAAACAAUCUAUUUUGUGCUUACGUGUCUAAAAACGCAUUCAUUAUUAACUGAGGUCCUACAUUUUGCCAAACUCAUCAAAAACUGGAGAAAUGAUGCAAUAAAAUUCAUUGAGUAGUUUCAAAAAAUAACCAUCAGGAGUUCCCAUCAAGGCUCAGUGGUUAACAAAUCCGACUAGGAACCAUGAGAGAGACUGAAAAAUAUGUGGUGCCAAAUUGCAUAUAGUCGUCUAUGUGGGAAAAGAAUCUGAAAGAGAAUGGAUGUGUGUGUAUGUAUGACUGAAUCACUUUGUUGUACAACAGAAAUUAUCACAACCUUGUAAAUCAACUCUACCUUAGUAAAACUUUUUUUUAAAAAUUGCACAUAGUCAAUCUAGAUCACAGAGUUGCAUAAGCCAGAAUCUGGGGACUAUACUGAUAUUUGAGUUUAUUGUGUAAUUGUCUUGGAAGGAUCCCAGGUCCAGAUCACACCCCCUGGGGUGAGAGCAGAUUUAGAAGUAAAACGGUAGUGUAACUGUCAGUCAUCUUCAAAGAGAUCCUUUGGGGGCAACAACAACCACAAAAAAAAAGGACUUGGGCGAAACCCAUGAGAAAAGGAAAAAUCAUCUCCUUCCUGCAGGCUAAGGGCCCAGUUCAGUUCAUCUGGAGUUUGGCCAUAGUGACACAGUCCCGGAAAAAGGCAGGAAGCCAAACUGAGCAAAGGACCUAAGGAUAUACCACAGCUUAAAUCACUACGUGUUGCACUUCUCUUUCCCUACUACCAGCCUUUGGCGACAUCUCCGCCACGAUCUGGGACAGAAAUCUGCCAACGUUUUCUGUGAAGGGCCAGAGAACAACCACUGCAGCUUUGUGGGCCACGCUGUCUCAUCACAACCAUUUAACUCCUGACACUGUAGCACAAAAGCUGCCAUCAAUACGUAAAUGAAUAAGCGUGGCUGCAUUCCAAUAGAACUUUACUUAUAUACACAUAAAUUCUAAUUCAAUAUAAUUUUCAUGUGUCAUGAAAUCCUGUUCUUUUAUUUAUUUUAUUUAUUUAUUUAUUUAUUUAUGUGGCCGUGCUUGUGGCAUGCCAAAACUCCUGCGCCAGGGACAGAACCUGAGCCACAGCAGUGACAAUACCGGAUCGGAUCCUUCGCCCACAGAGCCACCAGGAACUCCUAAUUUUUUUUUUUUUUUUCCAACUCUUUAAAAAUGUAAAAUCCAGACCUCCCUGGUGACUUAGCAGAUAAGAAUGCAGUGUUGCCACUGCUGUGGCUCGGGUUUGAUCCCUGGCUUGGGACGUUCCGCAUACAUAAAUAAUAUAAAUAAGAAUGUAAAAUCCCAUUCUUAGCUCAGGGUCCCUACAAAAACAGGCGGCAGGCCAGAUCUGAACCAGGGGCUGGAGUGUGCCCCUGCUCCAAGAAAUUAAAGAGGAACGUAAGGCAGUACAGAGAAAGACAGGGCCCCUCCUCGGAGGGCUCAAGGCCAGAAGCCAGUGCCAGUGUCACAUUCUAGGCUGAGCUUCCUCCCACUUAACUAAGCCCAUGCACGGCCACUGAAUUUUAGGAUGUCAACAUAAGGGCAACCCUGUCCUCUAAACCACUAGAAACUGAUUAUAGACAUAAACGGCCAGUGACGUGCCCGGUACCCAGGACCAGCUUUGACAACACACCAUGCCUCCCUUCCUUCCUUCUGCUGAUUUCAGCUUCGCUAACUCCGUGCGAAUGUGUGCUUAAUUCACAUCUAAACUGUUGAAAGUUUUUUGGCCUAAUUCUGACUCACAGAAAUCUA